CAUUGGAAAUGACAAGAUUUCUGCGCAAAGAUUUUUCUUGGUCAAGAGUGCAACAUAUGAGCUGUGGAUAUGAACUUUACUGUCAGGUGAACAUUGGAAGUGACAAGAUUUCUGCACAGAGAAUGAAUGAAGUUUAAGAAAGUUGAAAGGCACCCCUGAAGAACCUGAAUUAUUUUAGCCCUAUCCUAGAUUCAUUAAUUAAUAUAUUUUAGUGUGUGAUAACAUGUGUGAAAUGUGAUCAAUUAUGUGACAAUCUUCAAAACUUGGAUUUAUAAAGAGAAAUUUUUCUUUGUAAAGCUUAAGAAGUAAACUUUUUUGUCU